GAUGAACGCUGGCGGCGUGCUUAACACAUGCAAGUCGAACGGAAAGGCCCAAGCUUGCUUGGGUACUCGAGUGGCGAACGGGUGAGUAACACGUGGGUGAUCUGCCCUGCACUUCGGGAUAAGCCUGGGAAACUGGGUCUAAUACCGGAUAGGACGAUGGUUUGGAUGCCAUUGUGGAAAGUUUUUUCGGUGUGGGAUGAGCUCGCGGCCUAUCAGCUUGUUGGUGGGGUAAUGGCCUACCAAGGCGUCGACGGGUAGCCGGCCUGAGAGGGUGUACGGCCCCAUUGGGGCUGAGAUACGGCCCAGACUCCUACGGGAGGCAGCAGUGGGGGAUAUUGCACCAUGGGCGCAAGCCUGAUGCAGCGACGCCGCGUGGGGGAUGACGGCCUUCGGGUUGUAAACUCCUUUCGCUAGGGACGAAGCGUUUUUGUGACGGUACCUGGAGAAGAAGCACCGGCUAACUACGUG
rnacentral:rRNA from 1 species